UUUCUCCUGCUCGGUGCGUGAUGGUUUCUUUUUAAACCCACAUCUCUGAAACGGGACGCCCCCACUCGUGCCGUGGAUUGCAGGCCUCCCGGCGCGCCCUUUUGGGGCGCCGCCGGAAGUUGGAAGCAGUAAAGCGGCGCGGAGGCGACCCACCUGCCAUUUCGUGCAGGUUUUAAUCAGGGCCACACGGCCAGAGCGGGAGAUUU
rnacentral:other from 1 species